AAUCACCACAACAGCUGUUGCUGAACUGGGAGGCUUCAGACUCUUUCCCCCGAGGACACGGAUUUCCAGAGACACAGUGCCCAACUGCAGCGUGGAGAUGAGCAAGAAGCGGUUGGAGAACAGCACAGGGUAAACCCAGGAGCCAGUCCUUGCAACUUGUUUGCUCCACCCGUUUGUCUUCUCUUGGCCGGAGUUCUGGAUGUCCCUCUGUUGCAGCAAAAGCAGAGGGAAGAAGGUCUGCAGGAAGCUGAAAUUGGAAGUGGAGCUGGAGAUGAAAUCGAGGCACUCCCAAGCAGCAUCUUUACCACUUGGUGAGUACUUGCCCUUCAUAGUAUAUUUUUAAAUUAAAUUUUGCUUUGGUAGAGUGGUGAUUAGAUUUAGGAAAGCAAUACAGUGUUCCCAUCACUUUGGAUCAUGGACUUCUACCUUUAUCCAUAGUUUGAAAGGCUUACUUAA